UUCUGACCUCUGGCUCCUUGGAGGGACUGGCCUGAGGUGGGCCCUGGCAUCCCCAGCCUCCUCUAAACCACCUCCCUGGAACAUGCGGGACAGGAGCCCAAGCGGCAUCUGAGGAGGGCGGGUUCUGCCAGGCACAGAGGGCUCCAGCGUGAUUGCCACUGGUUAAUGACCUGCCACCCCCGCCCCCCCAACCUCUGGUGCCGUCCAAGGACUCUGACCCCAGUGCAGUGUCUGUAGGGAAGAGGAGCCAUGGGGCUUCGGGCAGGCCCCAUCCUGCUUCUGCUGCUGUGGCUGCUGCCAGGGGCCCAUUGGGAUGUGCUGCCUUCAGAAUGCGGCCACUCCAAGGAGGCCGGGAGGAUUGUGGGAGGCCAAGACACCCAGGAAGGACGCUGGCCGUGGCAGGUUGGCCUGUGGUUGACCUCAGUGGGGCAUGUAUGUGGGGGCUCCCUCAUCCACCCACGCUGGGUGCUCACAGCCGCCCACUGCUUCCUGAGGUCUGAGGAUCCCGGGCUCUACCAUGUUAAAGUCGGAGGGCUGACACCCUCACUUUCAGAGCCCCACUCGGCCUUGGUGGCUGUGAGGAGGCUCCUGGUCCACUCCUCAUACCAUGGGACCACCACCAGCGGGGACAUUGCCCUGAUGGAGCUGGACUCCCCCUUGCAGGCCUCCCAGUUCAGCCCCAUCUGCCUCCCAGGACCCCAGACCCCCCUCGCCAUUGGGACCGUGUGCUGGGGUGACUCCGGGGGGCCGCUGGUCUGCCCCAUCAAUGAUACGUGGAUCCAGGCCGGCAUUGUGAGCUGGGGAUUCGGCUGUGCCCGGCCUUUCCGGCCUGGUGUCUACACCCAGGUGCUAAGCUACACAGACUGGAUUCAGAGAACCCUGGCUGAAUCUCACUCAGGCAUGUCUGGGGCCCGCCCAGGUGCCCCAGGAUCCCACUCAGGCACCUCCAGAUCCCACCCAGUGCUGCUGCUUGAGCUGUUGACCGUAUGCUUGCUUGGGUCCCUGUGAACCAUGAGCCAUGGAGUCCGGGAUCCCCUUUCUGGUAGGAUUGAUGGAAUCUAAUAAUAAAAACUGUAGGUUUUUUAUGUGUA
ensembl:lncRNA PRSS30P serine protease 30, pseudogene